rnacentral:rRNA from 1 species
GAAACUGGCAGGCUUGAGUCUUGUAGAGGGGGGUAGAAUUCCAGGUGUAGCGGUGAAAUGCGUAGAGAUCUGGAGGAAUACCGGUGGCGAAGGCGGCCCCCUGGACAAAGACUGACGCUCAGGUGCGAAAGCGUGGGGAGCAAACAGGAUUAGAUACCCUGGUAGUCCACGCCGUAAACGAUGUCUACUUGGAGGUUGUGCCCUUGAGGCGUGGCUUCCGGAGCUAACGCGUUAAGUAGACCGCCUGGGGAGUACGGCCGCAAGGUUAAAACUCAAAUGAAUUGACGGGGGCCCGCACAAGCGGUGGAGCAUGUGGUUUAAUUCGAUGCAACGCGAAGAACCUUAC